AGUGAACGCUGGCGGUAGGCCUAACACAUGCAAGUCGAACGGCAGCACAGUAAGAGCUUGCUCUUACGGGUGGCGAGUGGCGGACGGGUGAGGAAUACAUCGGAAUCUACUUUUUCGUGGGGGAUAACGUAGGGAAACUUACGCUAAUACCGCAUACGACCUACGGGUGAAAGCAGGGGAUCUUCGGACCUUGCGCGAUUGAAUGAGCCGAUGUCGGAUUAGCUAGUUGGCGGGGUAAAGGCCCACCAAGUCGACGAUCCGUAGCUGGUCUGAGAGGAUGAUCAGCCACACUGGAACUGAGACACGGUCCAGACUCCUACGGGAGGCAGCAGUGGGGAAUAUUGGACAAUGGGCGCAAGCCUGAUCCAGCCAUACCGCGUGGGUGUAGAAGGCCUUCGGGUUGUAAAGCCCUUUUGUUGGGAAAGAAAAGCAGCAGGUUAAUACCCCGCUGUUCUGACGGUACCCAAAGAAUAAGCACCGGCUAACUUCGUG
rnacentral:rRNA from 1 species